rnacentral:rRNA from 1 species
UACGUAGGGGGCAAGCGUUGUCCGGAUUUAUUGGGCGUAAAGAGCGUGUAGGCGGCCAGGUAGGUCAGCUGUGAAAACUCGAGGCUCAACCUCGAGACGUCGGUUGAAACCACCUGGCUAGAGUCCGGAAGAGGAGAGUGGAAUUCCUGGUGUAGCGGUGAAAUGCGCAGAUAUCAGGAGGAACACCGGUGGCGAAGGCGGUUCUCUGGGCCAGUACUGACGCUGAGGAGCGAAAGCGUGGUAGCAAACAGG